rnacentral:rRNA from 2 species
GAUUUCUGACUUGGCGCACCUGGCCCGCCACGGUUACGUGUGUGAGUGCCGGGAUGCGCCUGUCACUUUUCUGGUAAACUAUUGUGCCCUUCAUUGGGUAUGAUAGGUAGCCAGAUAUUUUACUUUGAAAAAAUUAGAGUGUUUAAAGCAGGCGUUUGCUAUGAAUACAUUAGCAUGGAAUAAUAAGUUAGGACUUCGGUUCUAUUUUGUUGGUUUCUAGGACUGAAGUAAUGAUUGAUAGGGAUAGUUGGGGGUGCUAGUAUUCAGCGGCCAGAGGUGAAAUUCUCGGAUUCGCUGAAGACUAACUUAUGCGAAAGCAUU